rnacentral:rRNA from 1 species
GACGAACGCUGGCGGCGUGCUUAACACAUGCAAGUCGAACGGUGAAGCGAGUGCUUGCACUCGUGGAUCAGUGGCGAACGGGUGAGUAACACGUGAGUAACCUGCCCAUCACUCUGGGAUAAGCACUGGAAACGGUGUCUAAUACUGGAUACGACCAACCCUUGCAUGGGGUGCUGGUGGAAAGAUUUAUCGGUGAUGGAUGGACUCGCGGCCUAUCAGCUUGUUGGCGGGGUAAUGGCCCACCAAGGCGACGACGGGUAGCCGGCCUGAGAGGGUGACCGGCCACACUGGGACUGAGACACGGCCCAGACUCCUACGGGAGGCAGCAGUGGGAAAUAUUGCACAAUGGGCGAAAGCCUGAUGCAGCGACGCCGCGUGAGGGAUGACGGCCUUCGGGUUGUAAACCUCUUUCAGCAGGGAAGAAGCGAAAGUGACGGUACCUGCAGAAGAAGCACCGGCUAACUACGUGC